UGUUUGAGUUUGAGAAAAAAAGAGAAGAGAGAAAAGGCUAUUCUCUUUGGAGAAGACCUGGGACCGGCCAUGGGGAGUCGCCGGACCACCGCAAGGUCACCGCCGGCCACCGUCGCCGACCACCAAAAAAGGUGCUGUGGCGGUGGAUUUGACCUGUCGGUGGAAGCAGAGGCAGUGGCCAGGCAAGUGGUUUAGGGUUUCAAAUUCUGAAACCCUAGUUUGACUGACGGGCCUGAGGUUUGGGUUUGUUAAUUUUUGGGUUUGGGGUAUUUUUGGGAUUGGGCUAAUGUAAUAGGGUUAAGGGUUAGUUGGGUUUUGGGCUUCUGUUGGGUUUAGUGGGUUGUUGGGUUUGGGGGCUAGGAUUUAGUUAUAUUUGGGCCCGCAAAUUAGACUUGUACACAAGACACCCUUGAAUCGAUUUCCUUAAAGCUAGAAACCAAAUUUGUUCCCAAAUUUGAUCUUAUUUGUAUUACUUUUAUGGGCCAUUUGGGCUUUUAGGCCAUAGUACAAUAGAGCUUUCUUCAAUCUAUCAUAAUAA